rnacentral:sRNA from 1 species
GGGGCAGUGAGCAAAUUCAAGGGCACUUGCUUUUCUCUGCCUCAGUAAACACAACUUUCUGGAGCUUCCAGAUUGAGUUCAUUUGUGACUCCUCCUCUAUUUAGAAAGGUGAACUCAUCCCAGGAUGGAGGAAUGUCCUCCACCCUCUCUGCAGGUUUUCAGCAGAGGAAAAGGAAGAACAGGCAGCAAAGCCUGGGGUGGGAGAACUCAGGGGUUUGGUCUGCCCUAACUGGGGAGUGGUGGUCGCACUAGGCAGAUGGGAGGAGCUGCCUGAUCUCCGCUUCGUUUGGCUUCUCCGUGAGUGCAUGUCUGCUAGAAGCAGCUCCUGUCUAGUGCCACUUAUGGGUGCCUGUCUACAACCAUGGGUCUCACUGGGACGAAGUGGACAGUGUAGAUGCUGAGGGAUCCCUGUGUCUGUCAUGCUAUUUCUGGGUCCCCAAAUGUCUUGGCUAAUGUUGUGCAUGUUUAAUUCUCUGUUGGCUGUGGCUGCUGCCUAGGAGCUGAUAACUAAUCCUUCUCAGCAGGUGAGUUACUCUCGGGGCUCUGACCACUCCAACUUUUAACUGCUGUCCCGGGCUGCUGCUCUGUACUGGGCCUGACAGAGAGGACUUGUCCAUUCCACUUUCUACCUUAUUCCCCAUUCAUACAGGGUGGUAUGGGAGAGGGCCCCCAAAGAGAAAGAAGAAAUGUAGCAGAGGGAGGUAAUCAAAUAGACCCCUGGCAGCGGUGGAGGUCAAUGUCUCCUGGAAUGAGGAGAAGGCUUCUAGGUCUACUGUCUUACCCACCAGGCCAAAGGAGAGCCUUUCCUGUAAGGACACACAGGGUAGGCACGACACAAUUCACAAAGAUAACCAUGCAAGGCGGCCCCUGAAGUUGUGCAAGAGGGACCUCCCAGAGGAAGAACAGCACACUAGACAGUCUCCUGUCUACCUCGCCAGGGGCCCAAGAGAAGGAGUGGGGCGGGAUCAAUGAUUUCUCCAGAAUCCUCCUGCUGGGACUCAGAGGAGAGAGUUCUGCUUCAGUUUCCAUACCUCUGAACUUGUGGAUGCUCUCUACCCUGGGCAUCUUGGGCUGUGCCUGAAGUCCCUAGGAGUCAGCAACUGUUCCCUAGGGGGGUUUGCAACCAGGUUCUCAGCAUAAGCCAGAGGAGGGCCUCUGGGUUGGGCAGUGGGAAUGGGAGUUGAUUCUGUUGGAGUCAUGGUAGGUUAUGUCACAUUGCCCAAAGCCACAGAGAUCAGUCAUACCCUGACCCACUGGCACAGCCCCUUCCCUCAUUGCCCAGAGUGGAUAAUUUCUAAAAAAAAAUCUCUAAAAAAAUAAAAAAAAUAGGAAGGGGGGCUCCUCGGUGUCCUUCCCCAACCCAUUGAAGCCUAUGGAAAAGUCCCAGAUACCUUCUCUUAAAGUUAGCUAUUAGCCACCCUCCUCUCUCUCCUGUCUUUUUCUUCCCCCUUCCCCUCACACCAGGAGCAUUCCUGGAUUGGUAGGAGGUGGCUCUUGCGGGGCGGGUAAGAGGAGGAUUAGGGAACCCACACCUCAACUGUCCACUUGACUUGUUGGUUGCAGAAAGAGCUGGGCUCCACUGAGGACAUCUACCUGGCUUCCCGCAAGGUCAAAGAGCUGUCGGUCAUUGAUGGCCGGAGGGCCCAAAACUGCAUCAUCCUUCUUUCCAAGUAUGUGCAAAAGAAGGUGGUUGAGUUGGAUGCCUGGGGGACAAAGGGGGUGGAGGAACGGAGUGGUGGCAGUCUCGGGCCUCUCCCUCUCUGCUGUCCCCUGGGAGGGGCAGGCAUUGAUCUGGAACUGUCUCUCGGGAACCUGCCUUGAGCAGCAGUUUGGGGCUCUGCAGGCAGGAAACUGCCCAGUCACGAGGCCCUUGCCCAGCCUGGUCAGCGUCUGGCAGCUGAGUUGCUCUAAGCCUACGGAGGGCCUCGCUUGGCUCAGGCCAUGGAGCAGCAUGAUCUCAGCCCCUAAGCAUUUCCCGCGGCUGCAGAACAAACAGGGCAGUAUCUGCGCUAACAGCACAGCUUCUGUACGGGGGGCCUCCUGCCUGAGCAGGGUCAGAGGGCACCACCUCCCAUACUAUUCUUAGUGCUGCCCCAGCCGCCUCUGAGACAUCCUCCUCCCUUUCUUCUCACAAGCCCCCAGGCCUCAGUUUCCCCCACUUGAUGGUGGAAAGAGUUCUGAAUCCCCAGGGUUCCUAAUGGGGGUGCAUGUGGAGGGGAUAGGGAAGGGCUAUGGGGGUGUGUGGCUUCUCCCUCUCCCAGACAGCAAGACUGAUUGGGACAGCUGUGUGGGAGCUGAGGCGCUGUCAGAAGACUGAGAGCGAUUCUGUGUUCUGAGAAUGAAGGCAGCAGGAAAUUGCCCUCUUAGUGGCUUGCCGAUAAUCCUGUCCUCCCGUGGAGAUGCUGUGCAUUUUUUAAGCAUGAGGAGGAGGAGAAGGAUCAGGAACCCUUUGCCCUGUCCCUUUGGUCUACAUUGAAGACAUCUCUUUUACUCCCAAAUGCCCCUAUCAGCUCUGAUGGAUUAUCAAGAGAACAGAGACCCUCACGUCUCUAUUUUGACACUAAAAUGCUCAUUAUCAAGUUUGUGGACUGAAUCAUACUAGUCUAGUCUAAGAAGGCUUUGUAGAGGAGGUGAGAGGGGAAUACUAUUAAAUAUAUUCCCAAGUCCUGUUAGGGAAUGAGGGAAGGCGGAGGUGGUACCUUUUGGAGAAGAAGGUUUGAGGGCUGUCCUGGAUUGAGGUGGGGUUUUGCCUUAGGUUGAAGCUUUCUAACGAGGAGAUCCGGCAGGCCAUCUUGAAGAUGGAUGAGCAGGAGGACCUUGCUAAGGACAUGCUGGAGCAGCUCCUCAAGUUCAUCCCGGAGAAGAGUGACAUUGACCUCCUGGAGGAGCACAAGCAUGAAAUUGAGCGGAUGGCCCGUGCUGACCGCUUCCUCUAUGAAAUGAGCAGGAUUGACCACUACCAGCAGCGACUGCAAGCCCUCUUCUUCAAGAAGAAAUUCCAGGAGCGGCUGGCUGAGGCAAAGCCCAAAGUGGAAGCCAUCCUGUUGGCCUCCCGGGAGCUGGUCCGCAGCAAGCGUCUUAGACAGAUGCUAGAGGUCAUCCUAGCCAUAGGCAACUUCAUGAACAAAGGGCAGCGUGGGGGCGCCUACGGGUUCCGGGUGGCCAGCCUCAACAAGAUCGCUGACACCAAGUCCAGCAUCGACAGAAACAUCUCUCUGCUCCAUUACCUGAUCAUGAUCCUGGAGAAGCAUUUUCCUGAUAUUCUGAACAUGCCUUCAGAGCUGCAACAUCUUCCAGAAGCCGCCAAAGUCAACCUAGCAGAACUGGAGAAGGAGGUGGGCAACCUCAGGAGGGGCCUGAGAGCGGUGGAGGUGGAGCUGGAGUAUCAGAGGCGCCAGGUACGGGAGCCCAGUGACAAGUUUGUCCCUGUCAUGAGCGACUUCAUCACGGUGUCCAGCUUCAGCUUCUCCGAGCUGGAGGACCAGCUAAAUGAGGCCAGGGACAAGUUCGCCAAGGCCUUGAUGCACUUCGGGGAGCAUGACAGCAAGAUGCAGCCAGACGAAUUCUUUGGCAUCUUUGAUACCUUCUUGCAGGCCUUCUCAGAGGCCCGGCAGGAUCUAGAGGCCAUGAGGAGGAGGAAGGAGGAGGAGGAGCGGCGGGCGCGCAUGGAAGCCAUGCUGAAGGAGCAGAGGGAACGUGAGCGGUGGCAGCGGCAGCGGAAGGUCCUGGCUGCGGGCAGCUCGCUGGAGGAGGGAGGAGAGUUCGAUGACCUGGUGUCGGCCCUGCGCUCUGGGGAGGUCUUCGACAAGGACUUAUGCAAGCUCAAGCGCAGCCGCAAGCGAUCAGGGAGCCAGGCCCUGGAAGUUACCCGGGAGCGGGCAAUAAACCGGCUAAAUUAUUGACCUGGGGAACUAGCCACACAGGAGGCCGGGAGACAGGGACUGGUGAGAAUGGGGCUGAGUGGAGGAGGUGGUGAUAUUUAAACCAUUUGGUGCUUGGUUUAGAGCCUUGGGCUGGGUCCUGGGAUGGGGGGCUGUGUGUGGCUGGACCAGGUGUCUCCCCACGCUUACCUUAAGGGGCGGCUCUUAUCUCCCCUUCACACGAUUUCUUCUGUGCCCUGGCCCCAGGGAUUAUUCUGAGGCUGCCUUGGAUGGCCUCAGGCCAGGUAACCCCAGGCUGAAGGGGCCCUGCUCCCCAUCCCCUACCAUGGGCACCCAUGUGCUGGCACAGAACAGUUCCAGAUCUAGACUGGAGAGGUCCACAGCCUUGUCCAGAGUUCCUGUGUAGCACGGGGAGCAAUGAUGGAGGGAGCCCCUGAGAGGGAAUCUGGUGAGGGAAUCCAGACUCCCUUCUCUCAAGGGGAGGCUCAACAGAACAUUGACCUGGGGGCAAACUUUCCUCUUGAAUGGGAACAGAGGAGGCAUUAUAUAUUCUAGUUAGAUCAGCUCUGGUAGGUUCCAGAGAACAGUCAAUGUUGGAAGGAUGAUGCAGGGACCAAAGCCAUCAGGACAGAGUAGCAGUGUCUGUUUCCCAUGUCACAAGUCCUCUGGCCUCUCCCUGCAUGUCUUAAGUAUCUUUCCCUUCCUUCUCUACCCUCACCUCCAUCCUGUCUACUAAUCCACAGUCCUAGAAGACUCACCUUGGGUUUCCACAGCUAUGGCUCACUACCAGGUGCUUGAUGAAUCUGGCGAGGGGCUCAAGACAGACCUCAUGCAUCACCACACCUCAUGCCUUUUGGGCAUCUCCCAUGUCCCCAUCUCCUGGACACCUGGCCAUUGUUGUGAAGCCAGACAGUGACCUCAAAUGUUGCCUUGGAGUCCCCUAUAGCCCCUCAGCAGAGGGCAGCACUUGAAUGCUUAGCUCCAUCCCAUAGUUCUCUACUUCAUAUAAAUUGCUCAGGCCCUCCCACCCCUUCUCUAACACUAGUUUCAAGGCAGAAGCCACAGCAGCCUCUGUCCAGCCUGCAGGUGGCCACUUGGAACCAUGUGUCCACUGGCGUUGGGGAGUUGGUUCCUGAGAGGUCUGAGGGCCAGAGCUGCCCUCUACAUUAACACGCUGUCUCUAAGGGUGGCCCCUCCUCUCAGGCGUUCGGAUGGUGCGAACAGCAGAGCAGGCAAGGGAAACUGGGGAGAUGGGGAUGGAAGAGGAAGGCUGACAUCCUCUGGGGAGCACAUCACCUGAAGGUGCCAAGGAGGAAGGCUGAGAGGGGGGCCACCCCAUUUCUGGUACCCAAUUUGGUUCUUCAGCCCAACUUGCAAGGGGUUCCUUCUGGUCCUCCCAUCCACUGCCACCUUCCAUUUUGUCCAUCUCAUGCUGGCCUUGGUGGAUGGGAUGGCUGUAUCUAGACAAAAUUUUUCUAAAACUCCAUCAAGGCUCUUAUUCAAUACCACGUUCUGAGUUGGCCUUUCAUCUUCUUUGAGACUGGCCCUGCCUAACCUCUACCAUCAAUCAGCUCUUGGCCCUUCUGCCCUUCCCUGCGUUUCUCACUUUCCAACCUAAUCCCUGGCUCAGGGUUAUUGCCAGUAGAGACCGGUGAGCUGGGCCUACUCUCAGCUGCCUAUCUUCUGCCUUUCACUUGCAUCCAACUCCUGGGGCUGGGACUGUAGUAGCUGCGGGGGGGAAGAAACACAGGGUCGGUGAGCCCAGCAUGUGCGUUGGUUUGAGGGGGCGGGCGGUGUGUGUGUGUUCUGGUGGGAGGGAUCUGAGCAAGUGCAAGCCUGGCUGACACAGGUGUGAAGAGGCCAUCCUGGAACCCAGGUGAGGGCAAGAUGAAGGCUUCCAGGCAGAACAGCUGCAGAGAGUUUGGCUAUAUGCAUCUGCAGCCCCAAGAGCUCCCACUGCAAGACAAGUGUUGGGGAAGAUGGGAGGUUGUGGGUGAGGCCUCUAAAGGUCCUCUCCCAAACUGACCAGGCUGAUGUCAACCUAACCCCUUCAGGGGCAGGGAACAGGGGAGGGCUCCACAAGCGUGUCUGGCAUUCCCACCCACCAUGGAAGACUGGAUACGCACCUGGAAACAAAAGGACUAUGGAAGCUGUUCAAGACACAUUUGAUCUUCAGAAAAGCAGAAUUUGGUUCAACUGUUGACAGAGGACACAAAUACGUUGUUCCAGAGCUCAGCCUUCUCACUCUAAAAGGUAUUUUUCUAUUUAUUUUCUACAUCUGGCCACUGGCUCUGGUGCUAGAUGCCACUGUAGCCAGAUCUCCAACAGUGCCUUGGACCAUGGACUCAUACUCAACUGAGUAAGAAGGGGCUGGUGCCCAGUCGGGGUGGCUGAGCUGGUCCUUAAUAUGUUAAAUGUUUUAGCCUCUUAAUGUUUCUUGGUCUUGCUUUCUUCAUGCCCUCCCCACUGCUCCUGCCACCUUUAGAUAAGUUUCUCUAGCUAAUUUUGUGGCCAAUGUAAAAUUCGUCAUCAACCUAACAAACACAACCUUCUCAGCAGCAUUUCUCCCCUGUGAUGGAAAUAAAUAAAGUGUUUAGGGCAGUGGGAGGAGAAAAUUCUCCAGGUGAAUGGGGAAGGGUCUGUUCCAGCCUCUCCCUACUCCCAUCCCAUUUCCACCAACUGGGGAACUGUGACUAUCUCCCCCGACCUCUACCAGGGAUGCCUUCACGCCAAGGCUGUUCUCACCAGCUGCCUCAGAUGACAAAUGAGGCUAAUGGACAUAAUCUACAGUGUCCUUUUUCACUUGCACCUUUUUUAUAAGAAUAUAUUGUAAUACUAAAAAAUAUUAAAUUCAUACCAUCCCUA